rnacentral:lncRNA from 1 species
GUUGAAAUUAAAAUAGCAGUCAUUCUAUAACUUGAACAAUCAUGGAUAGAGUAUAACUCUGAGGUGUUCAAUAAUAUAUGCCCUAUUAUGGAAUAUAAGAUACAUUCCCACAUUAUAUAAUAAUAUGUCACCUAGAUAGUAAGAUAUUAAGAGAGUUUCCAACAGCUAUAGAAAAGCAAAUGUAAUUAUGACAAUCCUUAGGAUCAUUCUUUAUCUACUUAACAUAUAAUGAUCUAUUAAACACCUGUGGUGCAGAGAUGGCUCUAUGACAUGGGCAUCUUCUGUGAUACAGAGGUAUUGUUGGGAAGCAUCUGGCUGUCCAGCCACAGGAUUUGUGAACAUCCUUGCACCAGGUAAGGCCAUGUUUCUGAGUUCUGGCCAAUAGAUUAUAGGCAGAACUGAUGUAUGCCACUUUAAAAACCCCUAUACUUACAAAAAUCCCUAGAGGACCAUCCACUGUCUCACUCUUCCCUGUCUGUGGACUAGAUGUUAAUGUUGAAGAUUUCCUUAGAAGCCAUUGAAAAAUUUCACAAGUUGAGGAUGGAAGAGACGUGGUCUUCUUCAAUUCCUGAGCGACAGUGUGGAUCACAUCAGGACAUUGCAUCAUAGAAAGUCUUAAAAGUUAUUCCCAGAAAAAUGAAUUCUGAUGAACACAUGCUAGAAAGAAGCAUAUUUUGAAAAGGUUUAAAAAAACUAUGAAUUUCUGUCCUGAUUUGAGACCUCAAAAAAUCAUGGAUACAUAAUGGAAUUCAUUGCCUCCGCAAGUUUCUCAGUUCUUGCCUGUCCAGAGGAAACAACUAUCAUCUUCCUCGGAAUUAAUGUAUUUGUCUGCUUCCAGCUUUAUUACAAAAGCAAAUUCGUGAAAAGUUCUAAUAGAAAAUGCAUAUCCUACAUCAUAUUGGAAGAGCCAAGGGGCUUUCUUUAACACUGAUAUUGAAAGAACAGUAGUAACACAGAACUGUAGAAGACUGUGGGAUUUUUGGUAAAGUAAAAAAGUUUUAUAUACCUCAAUACUUUCAAAUAAAUCCACUUUCAAUCUCUCAUGUAAAUGGCAAAUAAAGGGUUAUUAGUAUUUAAUUGGGCAAAUUGAUUCCUUUUAUGACAUAUUGCAGACAUCAGACUUUAUCACGAUAAAUCUGAUUUCAAAUAUCUGAAUUAAUUUUAUAAUCUGCUUAUAAUUAC